rnacentral:lncRNA from 1 species
AUUGAUGAUUUUCAUUCAUAGUUGGGUAGUAGACAAUAUAAUCAAAAUAAAAGUGCAAAAGUUCUUCAAAAUGAUCGUUACUUAAAAGAGUACAUCAAAGUUAAGCUAAGAGACAAAGAAUAGAAUAGACAAGCCUUCAUCCACUUCAAGUUCAUCUUCACUUUCUUCAACCAAUUUUCCAUCCUUUCUAAAGGAGUAGCUAGGGAAAUACCAUUUUUUGUCAAUUAACAUAUAAUCUUUUAUAACAAUCAUCAAAAACUUCACUUUUAUAGAAAUAUCAAAACUCUCAAGAAAACUCAUAUUUAGUGGUCCAUUAUGAUCUAUCAAGUUAGAAUUAUGC